ACCGGAUAGUUCCUUGAACCGCAUGGUUCAAGGAUGAAAGACGGUUUCGGCUGUCACUUACAGAUGGACCCGCGGCGCAUUAGCUAGUUGGUGGGGUAAUGGCUCACCAAGGGGACGAUGCGUAGCCGACCUGAGAGGGUGAUCGGCCACACUGGGACUGAGACACGGCCCAGACUCCUACGGGAGGCAGCAGUAGGGAAUCUUCCGCAAUGGACGAAAGUCUGACGGAGCAACGCCGCGUGAGUGAUGAAGGUUUUCGGAUCGUAAAGCUCUGUUGUUAGGGAAGAACAAGUGCGAGAGUAACUGCUCGCACCUUGACGGUACCUAACCAGAAAGCCACGGCUAACUACGUGCCAGCAGCCGCGGUAAUACGUAGGUGGCAAGCGUUGUCCGGAAUUAUUGGGCGUAAAGGGCUCGCAGGCGGUUUCUUAAGUCUGAUGUGAAAGCCCCCGGCUCAACCGGGGAGGGUCAUUGGAAACUGGGAAACUUGAGUGCAGAAGAGGAGAGUGGAAUUCCACGUGUAGCGGUGAAAUGCGUAGAGAUGUGGAGGAACACCAGUGGCGAAGGCGACUCUCUGGUCUGUAACUGACGCUGAGGAGCGAAAGCGUGGGGAGCGAACAGGAUUAGAUACCCUGGUAGUCCACGCCGUAAACGAUGAGUGCUAAGUGUUAGGGGGUUUCCGCCCCUUAGUGCUGCAGCUAACGCAUUAAGCACUCCGCCUGGGGAGUACGGUCGCAAGACUGAAACUCAAAGGAAUUGACGGGGGCCCGCACAAGCGGUGGAGCAUGUGGUUUAAUUCGAAGCAACGCGAAGAACCUUACCAGGUCUUGACAUCCUCUGACAACCCUAGAGAUAGGGCUUUCCCUUCGGGGACAGAGUGACAGGUGGUGCAUGGUUGUCGUCAGCUCGUGUCGUGAGAUGUUGGGUUAAGUCCCGCAACGAGCGCAACCCUUGAUCUUAGUUGCCAGCAUUUAGUUGGGCACUCUAAGGUGACUGCCGGUGACAAACCGGAGGAAGGUGGGGAUGACGUCAAAUCAUCAUGCCCCUUAUGACCUGGGCUACACACGUGCUACAAUGGACAGAACAAAGGGCUGCGAGACCGCAAGGUUUAGCCAAUCCCAUAAAUCUGUUCUCAGUUCGGAUCGCAGUCUGCAACUCGACUGCGUGAAGCUGGAAUCGCUA
rnacentral:rRNA from 1 species